rnacentral:rRNA from 1 species
UACGGGGGGGGGUAAGCGUUGUUCGGAAUUACUGGGCGUAAAGGGCUCGUAGGCGGCCAACUAAGUCGGGCGUGAAAUCCCUCAGCUUAACUGGGGAACUGCGUCCGAUACUGGAUGGCUUGGAUUUGGGAGAGGGAUGCGGAAUUCCAGGUGUAGCGGUGAAAUGCGUAGAUAUCGGGAGGAACACCGGUGGCGAAGGCGGUUCUCUGGGCCUGUACUGACGCUGAGGAGCGAAAGCGUGGGGAGCGAACAGG